rnacentral:rRNA from 1 species
GACGAACGCUGGCGGCGUGCUUAACACAUGCAAGUCGAACGGAAAGGCCCUGCUUUUGUGGGGUGCUCGAGUGGCGAACGGGUGAGUAACACGUGAGUAACCUGCCCUUGACUUUGGGAUAACUUCAGGCAACUGGGGCUAAUACCGGAUAGGAGCUCCUGCUGCAUGGUGGGGGUUGGAAAGUUUCGGCGGUUGGGGAUGGACUCGCGGCUUAUCAGCUUGUUGGUGGGGUAGUGGCUUACCAAGGCUUUGACGGGUAGCCGGCCUGAGAGGGUGACCGGCCACAUUGGGACUGAGAUACGGCCCAGACUCCUACGGGAGGCAGCAGUGGGGAAUAUUGCACAAUGGGCGGAAGCCUGAUGCAGCAACGCCGCGUGCGGGAUGACGGCCUUCGGGUUGUAAACCGCUGUCGCCUGUGACGAAGCGUGAGUGACGGUAAUGGGUAAAGAAGCACCGGCUAACUACGUG